rnacentral:rRNA from 1 species
AAGGACUGCCGGUGUCAAACCGGAGGAAGGUGGGGAUGACGUCAAGUCCUCAUGGCCUUUAUGACCAGGGCUACACACGUACUACAAUGGCCGGUACAAAGGGCAGCGACACAGCGAUGUGAAGCCAAUCCCGAAAAGCCGGUCUCAGUCCGGAUUGGAGUCUGCAACUCGACUCCAUGAAGUUGGAAUCGCUAGUAAUCGCGGAUCAGCACGCCGCGGUGAAUACGUUCCCGGGCCUU